GGGGCCUUAGCUCAGCUGGGAGAGCGCCUGCUUUGCAAGCAGGAGGUCAUCGGUUCGAUCCCGAUAGGCUCCACCU
rnacentral:tRNA from 30 species